rnacentral:rRNA from 1 species
GACGAACGCUGGCGGCGUGCUUAACACAUGCAAGUCGAGCGAUGAAGCUUUUUCGGAAGCGGAUUAGCGGCGGACGGGUGAGUAACACGUGGGCAACCUGCCUUGUAGCGAGGAAUAGCCUUCCGAAAGGAAGAUUAAUACCUCAUAAGAUUGUAGCUUCGCAUGAAGUAGCAAUUAAAGGAGCAAUUCACUACAAGAUGGGCCCGCGGCGCAUUAGCUAGUUGGUGAGGUAACGGCUCACCAAGGCGACGAUGCGUAGCCGACCUGAGAGGGUGAUCGGCCACAUUGGGACUGAGACACGGCCCAGACUCCUACGGGAGGCAGCAGUGGGGAAUAUUGCACAAUGGGGGAAACCCUGAUGCAGCAACGCCGCGUGAGUGAUGGCGGCCUUCGGGUUGUAAAGCUCUGUCUUUGGGGACGAUAAUGACGGUACCCAAGGAGGAAGCCACGGCUAACUACGUGCCAGCCGCCGCCGUAAAAC